CCUACGGGGGGCAGCAGUGGGGAAUAUUGGGCAAUGGGCGCAAGCCUGACCCAGCAACGCCGCGUGAAGGAAGAAGGCUUUCGGGUUGUAAACUUCUUUUGUCAGGGAAGAGUAGAAGACGGUACCUGACGAAUAAGCCACGGCUAACUACGUGCCAGCAGCCGCGGUAAUACGUAGGUGGCAAGCGUUGUCCGGAUUUACUGGGUGUAAAGGGCGUGUAGGCGGGGACGCAAGUCAGAUGUGAAAACCACGGGCUCAACCUGUGGCCUGCAUUUGAAACUGUGUUUCUUGAGUACUGGAGAGGCAGACGGAAUUCCUAGUGUAGCGGUGAAAUGCGUAGAUAUUAGGAGGAACACCAGUGGCGAAGGCGGUCUGCUGGACAGCAACUGACGCUGAGGCGCGAAAGCGUGGGGAGCAAACAGGAUUAGAUACCCCAGUAGUC
rnacentral:rRNA from 1 species